rnacentral:rRNA from 1 species
CCUACGGGCGGCAGCAGUGGGGAAUAUUGGGCAAUGGACGCAAGUCUGACCCAGCAACGCCGCGUGAAGGAAGAAGGCUUUCGGGUCGUAAACUUCUUUUAAGGGGGAAGAGCAGAAGACGGUACCCCUUGAAUAAGCCACGGCUAACUACGUGCCAGCAGCCGCGGUAAUACGUAGGUGGCCAGCGUUGUCCGGAUUUACUGGGCGUAAAGGGUGUGCAGCCGGGCCGACAAGUGCGAUGUGAACUCCGCGGGCUUAACCCGCGAUCUGGAUUUGAAAUUAUUGGUCUUGAGUGCCGGAGAGGUCAGCGGAAUUCCUUGUGUAGCGGUGAAAUGCGUAGAUAUAAGGAAGAACACCAGUGGCGAAGGCGGAUGACUGGACGGCAACUGACGGUGAGGCGCGAAAGCGUGGGGAGCAAACAGGAUUAGAUACCCCGGUAGUC